CGCGUGUGCAGGCAGGCAGGCAGAUAAACCGCGUCAAGCUCCCGAGCCGAGCCGUGCCGCGCUAACAGCCGCUAGCAUCCGAAGACACAGCCCGCCGCGUUACAUCUGUGACAGCAGAUGGACGGCAAACACAGGAAGAGGAUGGACUUAAACCGAAGAUGCUGUGUCGCUUUUCUUUAGUUUUCACUUCCAUCUCCACUUUUUCUUUUCCCUCCACGAGCAACACUGCAGGCUGUCGACUCAAUACAGAACAAAGAAAUCUAUUCAUAGAACUUUCUAUCAAAAUGUUCCUGAAU